UGUUCUGUGGCUUAGUUGGUUAAAGCGCCGGACUAGCGAGAUGGUGUUGUGGGUUCGGAUCCCACUAAAACAA
rnacentral:tRNA from 1 species